GACGAACGCUGGCGGCGUGCUUAACACAUGCAAGUCGAACGGUAAGGCCCUUCGGGGUACACGAGUGGCGAACGGGUGAGUAACACGUGGGUGAUCUGCCCUGCACUUCGGGAUAAGCCUGGGAAACUGGGUCUAAUACCGGAUAGGACCCUGGGAUGCAUGUCCUGGGGUGGAAAGCUUUUGCGGUGUGGGAUGGGCCCGCGGCCGAUCAGCUUGUUGGUGGGGUAAUGGCAUACCAAGGCGACGACGGGUAGCCGGCCUGAGAGGGUGACCGGCCACACUGGGACUGGGAUACGGCCCAUACUCCUACGGGAGGCAGCAGUGGGGAAUCUUGCACAAUGGGCGCAAGCCUGAUGCAGCGACGCCGCGUGAGGGAUGACGGCCUUCGGGUUGUAAACCUCUUUCAGUAGGGACGAAGCGCAAGUGACGGUACCUACAGAAGAAGGACCGGCCAACUACGUGCCAGCCGCCGCGGUAA
rnacentral:rRNA from 1 species